GGCAUGCUUUAUACAUGCAAGUCGAGCGAAGACUAGAUUUGUAGUAGAAAUGAUUAAUUUUCACUUUGUGGAGAUUAUGAGUUCUUGCUAUUCCUGGUCUUAGCGGCGAACGGGUGAGUAACGCGUGAAUAAUCUGCCCUUGAAAUCGGGAUACCAUUCCGAAAGGAAUGCUAAUACCGAAUAACGUUAUGAAACAUAGGUUUUAUAACCAAAGUUGAAUCUUUGGAUUCUUCGUUCAAGGAUGAGUUCGCGUCCUAUUAGCUAGUUGGUGAGGUAAAGGCUCACCAAGGCUGUGAUGGGUAGCCGGCCUGAGAGGGCGUACGGCCACAUUGGGACUGAGACACGGCCCAGACUCCUACGGGAGGCAGCAGUAGGGAAUCUUCCGCAAUGGGCGAAAGCCUGACGGAGCGAUGCCACGUGGAUGACGGAGGCCUUCGGGUCGUAAAAUCCUGUCAGGGGGGACGAUGGUCAAUUUUCGGAUUGAUUGACGGUACCUCCAGAGGAAGCUCCGGCCAACUACGUGCCAGCAGCCGCGGUAAUACGUAGGGAGCAAGCGUUGUUCGGAUUUACUGGGCGUAAAGAGUGCGUAGGUGGCUAUACAAGUCAAGGGUGAAAUCUCUACUUUCAAGGUAGAAACUGCCUUUGAUACUGUAUGGCUAGAGGACAAGAGGGGGAAAUGGAACUCUGGGAGUAGCGGUGAAAUGCGUAGAUAUCCAGAGGAACGCCAGUAGCGAAGGCGGUUUCCUGGCUUGUUUCUGACACUGAGGCACC
rnacentral:rRNA from 1 species